UACGUAGGGUGCGAGCGUUGUCCGGAAUUAUUGGGCGUAAAGAGCUCGUAGGCGGUUUGUCGCGUCUGCCGUGAAAGUCCGGGGCUCAACUCCGGAUCUGCGGUGGGUACGGGCAGACUAGAGUGAUGUAGGGGAGACUGGAAUUCCUGGUGUAGCGGUGAAAUGCGCAGAUAUCAGGAGGAACACCGAUGGCGAAGGCAGGUCUCUGGGCCGUAACUGACGCUGAGGAGCGAAAGCGUGGGGAGCGAACAGG
rnacentral:rRNA from 1 species